AAUAUCAAAAAAAAUAAGGAUAAUGCGAGUAAGAAAAAGUUCCAUCAUAUUAUGGGGCCAGGAGGAUACCGCCUUUCGGAGCCUAGGUGGCAGAAGAUGGAGGAGGACCUGAGGGUGCGAGGAAUCCCUCUAGGUACAGAGGGAUGGGACCCAAGGGCCAAAAGCUGGUGGUACGGGCAUGGGGGAUCGCUAGACCCGGAGACAGGGGUGUGUGUUCACCAGCAAAAAAAGUUUGCUCCCACCCAAGCCCUUAUUGACGCAAUGACCCAAGCUCAAGAGGGCUUGAUCAAGUUCAACAGAGAAAAAGACGCACUGACAACAGCCCUCGGGAAUGAUGAACACGGAGGACGUGUACGA
rnacentral:rRNA from 1 species